CCUACGGGGGGCAGCAGUGAGGAAUAUUGGUCAAUGGGCGAGAGCCUGAACCAGCCAAGUCGCGUGAGGGAGUACUGCCCUAUGGGUUGUAAACCUCUUUUGUCGGGGAGCAAAAGCCGGACGUGUCCGGCUGUGAGAGUACCCGAAGAAAAAGCAUCGGCUAACUCCGUUCCAGCAGCCGCGGUAAUACGGAGGAUGCGAGCGGUAUCCGGAUUUAUUGGGUUUAAAGGGUGCGCAGGCGGAUUUUUAAGUCAGCGGUAAAAUCGUGGGGCUCAACCCCAUCCAGCCGUUGAAACUGGGGAUCUAGAGUGUGCGAGAGGUAUGCGGAAUGCGUGGUGUAGCGGUGAAAUGCAUAGAUAUCACGCAGAACCCCGAUUGCGAAGGCAGCAUACCGGUGCACAACUGACGCUCAGGCACGAAAGCGUGGGUAUCGAACAGGAUUAGAUACCCCGGUAGUC
rnacentral:rRNA from 1 species